UACGAAGGGGACUAGCGUUGUUCGGAAUCACUGGGCGUAAAGCGCACGUAGGCGGGCUUUCUAAGUCGGGGGUGAAAUCCUGGAGCUCAACUCCGGAACUGCCUUUGAUACUGGCGAUCUUGAGUCCGGGAGAGGUGAGUGGAACUGCGAGUGUAGAGGUGAAAUUCGUAGAUAUUCGCAAGAACACCAGUGGCGAAGGCGGCUCACUGGCCCGGUACUGACGCUGAGGUGCGAAAGCGUGGGGAGCAAACAGG
rnacentral:rRNA from 1 species